CUUGGUGACACUCACAGUGAGGAGUGUGGCCUUUCUUGGGCCAUCUACUCUUCUCUCCUGGCACUGUCCUGUGCCCCAGAGAGACUGGUGACGAUUUCUCCGAAGACAGGAUUUAUCCAGACCCCUGAAAUGUUUGUGCUGCAUCUGCACGGACACCUUUAAACAGGAAUACAGUGGCACGGGGAUGCUUCCUCAGCAGACUCCAUCAGCCACAGGAUUGCCCAGGCUUUCCAAUCCACCUUCCUCAGCCUCCCAGAGUGUUGGGAUUCCUUGUCAAUGUGCCUGGCCUCCACAAAACGUGUGUACGAGUGACACUGUCACGGGAGCAGUGCAGACGAGCACACCACGCAGAGGCAUAGAGAGGAGGCCACAGUCUGGUGGGACAGGAAGCCAACCACACAGCCCCAGCCUGGAAAUGAUGCCACCCAAAGUCUGUAGGGAACAGUGAGGAGAGCUGCUCUGACAUGACGCUGUGGCCCUGGGGGAGGCAGCAUCUUAGCUUGGUUUGGAGCGUGGAUCUGAGUCCGGGUAGAGGUUGGGGAAUAUUCCAGAGAGCAAAGAGAAAGCAGCUUGAAUCAAUCGCAGAGGAGGCAGCACAUGGGGGAAGCAGCAAGCUCUUCAGUUUUAGCUUGCAAGUCAUUUUGAGGAAGAGAAAUGUGAAAGAAUAUCUACAUGGAGGCAGGAAAAAAGUUACAGACAAAAGCCGAGUGCUUAUGCACCUGUAACUCCAGCUCUCAGGAGACUGAGGCAGGAGGAUUGCAAGUUCAGGCCAGAGUGGGCUACUCUGAGAUCCUGUUGCAAAACACAAAACAAGACAAAUCAACGUAAACAAAAACCAGAACAAGACAAAAGUUGAAGACAAGAUCACUUUGGAGGCUCAGUUUAAAGUGACUCUUGUUAAGAAAAUAAUGAAAGAAGAUGGUAUAAAGCAUUCUGCCAGGGUAAGGGUUGGGAACGGAAAUAAAGCUCUCACAUGGGCAGCACCUUGUAUUUGAAAUCGGUGUAAGGAUGAAGAAGACAAUGCUGAGCUGGCUCCCUGGCAGUUACUUACUUACUUUGCAGCCCUGGAGAUUGAACCCAGCGUGUUCACACUGAGCUCCAUCCCCAGCCUUUAAACUUUUUUAUUUUGAGGCAGAGUCUUGCUGAGUUGCCCAGGCUGGGCCUGAACGCUCGGUCCUUCUGCCUCGGCCUCCCAGAAUGCUGGGAUGACAAGCGUUCAGCACGUAUUCCACUUAUUUUUCAUUUUUAAAUGAUGCCCGUCACUGUUCUCAUAGUCACAUACAGCCUAGGUCUGCAACAGCAGGAGCUGAAAAGCGCUUGACCAUGCGACAGGUGGUGGGAGCGUCGGAGUGGGCAGAGCGGGCUGUGGG
rnacentral:lncRNA from 1 species